AUUGAACGCUGGCGGAAUGCUUUACACAUGCAAGUCGAACGGCAGCACGGACUUCGGUCUGGUGGCGGGUGGCGAACGGGUGAGUAAUGUAUCGGAACGUGCCCAGUCGUGGGGGAUAACGUAGUGAAAAUUACGCUAAUACCGCAUACGAUCUAUGGAUGAAAGCGGGGGAUCGCAAGACCUCGCGCGAUUGGAGCGGCCGAUAUCAGAUUAGGUAGUUGGUAGGGUAAAGGCCUACCAAGCCAACGAUCUGUAGCUGGUCUGAGAGGACGACCAGCCACACUGGAACUGAGACACGGUCCAGACUCCUACGGGAGGCAGCAGUGGGGAAUUUUGGACAAUGGGCGAAAGCCUGAUCCAGCCAUUCCGCGUGCAGGAUGAAGGCCCUCGGGUUGUAAACUGCUUUUGUACAGAACGAAAAGGUUUCUACUAAUACUAGGAGCUCAUGACGGUACUGUAAGAAUAAGCACCGGCUAACUACGUGCCAGCAGCCGCGGUAAUACGUAGGGUGCAAGCGUUAAUCGGAAUUACUGGGCGUAAAGCGUGCGCAGGCGGUUAUAUAAGUCAGAUGUGAAAUCCCCGGGCUCAACCUGGGAACUGCAUUUGAGACUGUAUAGCUAGAGUACGGUAGAGGGGGAUGGAAUUCCGCAUGUAGCAGUGAAAUGCGUAGAUAUGCGGAGGAACACCGAUGGCGAAGGCAAUCCCCUGGACCUGUACUGACGCUCAUGCACGAAAGCGUGGGGAGCAAACAGGAUUAGAUACCCUGGUAGUCCACGCCCUAAACGAUGUCAACUGGUUGUUGGGUCUUAACUGACUCAGUAACGAAGCUAACGCGUGAAGUUGACCGCCUGGGGAGUACGGCCGCAAGGUUG
rnacentral:rRNA from 1 species